rnacentral:rRNA from 1 species
UGGCCGCGGUAUUUUGACCGUGCUAAGGUAGCAUAAUCAUUAGUUUUUUAAUUGAAAGCUGGAAUGAAGGGCUGAAUGAAAAAAAAACUGUCUCUAAUUAAUUAUUUUAGAAUUUUAUUUUUAAGUUAAAAAGCUUAAAUUUUAUUAAAAGACGAGAAGACCCUAUAGAGUUUAAUAAUUUUAUACUAUAAAAAAUUUGGAAUUAAUAUUUUUAUUUUUAUAUAAUUAUUUGAUUGGGGUGAUUAAAAAAUUUAAUAAACUUUUUUAUUUAUUUAUAUUAAUUAAUAAAUAAUUGAUCCAAAAAUUUUGAUUAUAAGAUAAAAUUACCUUAGGGAUAACAGCGUAAUUUUAUUUGAGAGUUCUA